rnacentral:rRNA from 1 species
UACGUAGGGUGCGAGCGUGUCCGGAUUUAUUGGGCGUAAAGAGCUCGUAGGCGGUCUGUCGCGUCUGCUGUGAAACUCAGGGCUUAACCCUGAGCUUGCAGUGGGUACGGGCAGACUAGAGUGCGGUAGGGGAGACUGGAAUUCCUGGUGUAGCGGUGGAAUGCGCAGAUAUCAGGAGGAACACCGAUGGCGAAGGCAGAUCUCUGGGCCGUAACUGACGCUGGAGGAGCGAAAGGCGUGGGGAGCGAACAGG